rnacentral:rRNA from 1 species
GAUGAACGCUGGCGGCGUGCCUAAUACAUGCAAGUCGAGCGAACAGACGAGGAGCUUGCUCCUCUUACGUUAGCGGCGGACGGGUGAGUAACACGUGGAUAACCUACCUAUAAGACUGGGAUAACUUCGGGAAACCGGAGCUAAUACCGGAUAAUAUAUUGAACCGCAUGGUUCAAUAGUGAAAGACGGUUUUGCUGUCACUUAUAGAUGGAUCCGCGCCGCAUUAGCUAGUUGGUAAGGUAACGGCUUACCAAGGCAACGAUGCGUAGCCGACCUGAGAGGGUGAUCGGCCACACUGGAACUGAGACACGGUCCAGACUCCUACGGGAGGCAGCAGUAGGGAAUCUUCCGCAAUGGGCGAAAGCUUGACGGAGCAACGCCGCGUGAGUGAUGAAGGUCUUCGGAUCGUAAAACUCUGUUAUUAGGGAAGAACAAAUGUGUAAGUAACUAUGCACGUAUUGACGGUACCUAAUCAGAAAGCCACGGCUAACUACGUG